GCCGGGAUAGCUCAGUUGGGAGAGCGACAGACUGAAGUGGGUGCUAACUCUGCUUUCUGCAGGUCGCGCGUUCAAUUCGCGCUCUUGGCA
rfam:Postia placenta Mad-698-R POSPLscaffold_377_Cont8544, whole genome shotgun sequence.